UGCGGGGUGGAGCAGUGGUAGCUCGUUGGGCUCAUAACCCAAAGGUCGUAAGUUCGAAUCUUGCCCCCGCUACUA
rnacentral:tRNA from 1 species